rnacentral:tRNA from 1 species
AGUUUAUGAACUUGAAUAAGUAUAUGUUUUGAAAACAUAAAAUAGGACAAUAAUCCUAUAAACUU